GGAAGGGCGGGGGCUGGACAGAGUCAAAGAAAAGGCUGCCAUGGAAACACCAGCGCUUGAGGCUUGAAGAGGGAGGUGAGCUGAAAGAGGUAUGGUUUUUCUUAUGGAAGAAUAUUCUGUUAUUUCAUGAUGGCAUUUGCACCUCCAAAAAGUACAGAUGCCCCCAAAAUGCAGACAAAGAUGAGUACCUGGACACCUCUAAACCAUCAGCUUUUGAAUGACCGGGUAUUUGAAGAAAGAAGAGCUCUGCUUGGAAAAUGGUUUGACAAAUGGACAGACUCUCAACGGAGAAGAAUCUUGACAGGCCUGUUAGAACGUUGCUCCCUGUCACAGCAAAAGUUCUGCUGUCGAAAACUUCAAGAAAAAAUUCCAGCAGAAGCUCUGGAUUUUACUACCAAGCUUCCAAGAGUGUUAUCUCUAUACAUCUUUUCUUUCCUGGACCCACGAAGCCUUUGUCGUUGUGCACAGGUGAGCUGGCACUGGAAGAACUUAACUGAGCUGGAUCAGCUCUGGAUGCUCAAAUGUUUACGAUUUAAUUGGUACAUCAAUUUCUCUCCAACUCCCUUUGAGCAGGGUAUAUGGAAGAAGCACUACAUUCAGAUGGUAAAAGAACUUCAUGUUACCAAGCCAAAGACACCUCCAAAAGAUGGGUUUGCCGUUGCCGACGUUCAGUCAGUUACAAGCAGUCCUGCAGAGGAAAAGCAGUCCCCUGCGUCAGCUUUCAGGUCGUCUUCCUCUUUGAGAAAGAAAACCCACCCAAAGGAGAAAGAGCUCCCACCCUGGAGAUCAUCUGACAAGCAUCCAACUGAUAUCAUUCGCUUCAAUUACCUGGACAACUGUGACCCCAGUGAGCAAAUCUGGCAAGGGAGGAGGAAAAGACAUGAAAUGAAUCCAGAUUUCAGCCGACAAUCACAUGAUAAGAAACAUAAAUUGCAGGACAGAUCUAAGCUAAGAAAAGCACAGUCACUGAUAUCCCUAAGUGCAGAACCCAGCACCGCUCUCCGAGUUCCUGCUCAUCUCGCCUGGUCUCUUCACUGGUGGGCAGGGCUCCAGGCCACCGAAGCUGACACAAAGGUCCUCAUGCAACCUCUUCAGAGGCACCCUGGGCUUCAGGCAUUAUCCGGCCAGGCUCCAGAGCCGAAGUCAAUUUAAAAACAUGAAAGACAUGACAAAGUGAUAGACAUGACAAAGUGCUCUACCCAUUGGAGAGAUGUUACUUGGGUCCUCUAUUAGAAACUUUCAGCUUAGGUACCUGCUUGGGAAAGGGAGUCCUACAGUAUUUCAGUAAAAGUGUUGAAGGAUGAAGACCAGGAGAAGGAACCUCUCCACUCUAAGAAGCCAGCUGAUGGUUGCUUCCAGGAACAAGGAUGGUGAGAGAGCUUCUUAAUCCUUCAUAACUGGUCCCCAAACUUGUUAUACAUGCAAAAACCCUAGAGCCAGAGGACCUACGGUAAUUAUCUUUGUGAGCAUCAGGGCCAGGGGAAGCUAUGAAGACAGUGUGUCCCAGUCAACAGCCUAUUUAGGGAAGAAGGAAGUGUCCAGAGAUGGACGUCAAGAGGUAGGGAACUAGGGGAAGGACACAAAAGGGAAGAAAGGAACCCGUGAUGACUUUCCAGGGCCUCCCUCCCAGAGAGAGGUGAGUUUGUCUAAACCUCACGGGGCCUCUGCAGACCUAACAGCCGGAACCCUAUGGCCCCUACAUGGGGUUUGUCCUCCCAGUCCAGGGACAUCCCGUACCUGGAGCCUUAAGAGAAACUCCAGUGCCAACCUCAGCUCCUUCUUAACCAGCGAUGCGUACAUUCUGAUAUGAAUCUUGGCUUAUCUCCUGCGAGAUUUUAACCUUUCUGUAUUCACGUAAUAAUCUAUCCAUUUUGCUUCUAGUCUUCUAUUGUUAUUUCUGAACAUAUUUUACUCUCCCCAACUCCCAUCCCCACUCGCCUUCUAGACUGGGAAUUCUUCAGAGGAUCCCAUUUUCACUCACUCUGUACUUCCACAUUUUCUUUUAUGCAGGAGGGGCAUAACUGGAGUUUGCUGUCACUGGAAUGUCAUCAGAAGGUCUGAAAUGAAAAAAAGAAAAAAAAAGGUCUGAAACGUUCAUUUCUCAGCCAGCUUCUUUAUCCACUGACACUGACACAGAGUGGACACAAGAGGGCGCUCCUUCCCCUCUAGCGCAGUCCAGGGAGCUGCUCCUUUUCUGCCUCUUUCAGUCCCUUGAAUAAAAUUCAGACAGGACUGACAUCAAUGAAAGCAUAUUUUUAUUACCAUUGGGGAGAGGUUUGGGGCAAUUCCGGAUAUUUACACAGACACCCUUAAGGAUAUAUGUAUUCAGCUCAGGUCUUUGAUUUCAUUUGAAUCAAACAGAUACCAACAAUGUCAGUUUUGGAAGAACUUAAAGUCUAAGGAAGAAACAUGUGUUUUAAAAAGUAACCUAAAAAAAUAAAAAAAUAAAAAUAAAUAAAAAGUAACCUACCACUUUACACCCAUUAGGAUGGCUAUUGUCAAAGCACAGAUAACAAGUGUUGGCAAGGUUAUGGAGAAAUCGUAACCUUUGUGCAUUUGUUGGUGAGGUUUUCAAAUGACAGAUGUUAUUGGAAAAUUAAACCUAGGAUGACCUUAUGACCCAGCAAUUCAGGUGUAAACCCCAAAGAACUAAGAACAGGGCCUCCAUGAGAUACUGGUCUAUGCAUGUUCACAGCAGUAUUAUUUAUAAUAGCCAAAAGGUAGAAGCAACACAAGUCUCCACUGACAGAUGAAUGGAUAAACAAAGUGUGGUUUAGAUCUCCUGGAAUAUUCUUCCGCCUUAGAAAGGAAGGAAAUUCUGACACAGGCUACAACAUGGAUGAACCUUGAGGACAUCACGCUAAA